rnacentral:rRNA from 1 species
UACGAAGGGGACUAGCGUUGUUCGGAAUCACUGGGCGUAAAGCGCACGUAGGCGGAUAUGUCAGUCAGGGGUGAAAUCCCGGGGCUUAACCUCGGAACUGCCUUUGAUACAGCAUAUCUUGAGUCCGAUAGAGGUGGGUGGAAUUCCUAGUGUAGAGGUGAAAUUCGUAGAUAUUAGGAAGAACACCGGUGGCGAAGGCGGCCCACUGGAUCGGUACUGGACGCUGAGGUGCGAAAGCGUGGGGAGCAAACAGG